AAUGAUAACUGCUAAAUUCAUAAAAAUAAACAAAUAUUCUCUAUGUAGUCGUUGUGACAAGACAUCAUAAGUGAUAUAAAUUUAUAGACAGCUCGAUAAUUCAAAGCCUCAGUUCAAAGCAUUCAAAGUUUAAAACAUUUUAUUUACUUACAAGAAUUUUAUUUAUUGUUUGUAUAUACUAUUAUUACUUGACAUGGGCAAAAUCACUGAUGAUAAAAUGUAAUCGGAGGAAGCCAUAAUUAAAAGAAGAAAACUUUCUGAGAAAAUUUGAUAAAUAUGUUUAUACAACGAGUCCUCCCCGCGACUAACGAGAAUGCUGCCAACGCAAAGGAGUGGCAUUACCCAACGGUUGUAAAGAUGGAACAAGAAUAAAAUACUUACUGACUAAUAUUGAGUUAAGAUUGUCAGGAAUAAAGAAAACAUUACUAGAAAUAGUACAUUUAUUAUAAAAAAAAACCAACAAGCUAGUUGAAUUUGUGCUCUUUCUAUUCCCAACAAUGAUAUCAAAUUAAUGUUGGUCAAUAAUUUGUUUUUCUUUGAAGUUAUUAUAAUAAUAAAUUAUAUGUUUAUUUUGUUGUUAACUGAUAGGUAACUACUGGCUAUAAUAUGUCUUAAUUAUUAUAAUGAUAAGUGAAAUAGGUUUAUAGAAGCCAUUCCUAUGUCCAUGUUUGUUCCAAAUCAAUGCUAAAAAAUAGGUAUAAAUUGUUUUUGUUUAUUUUUCGUUUAAUAUAUAAAAUAUUAAUAAAAAUAUCAUCUUAUUGUUA